GACGAACGCUGGCGGCGUGCCUAAUACAUGCAAGUUGAGCGAUGAAGAUUGGUGCUUGCACCAAUUUGAAGAGCGGCGAACGGGUGAGUAACGCGUGGGGAAUCUGCCUUUGAGCGGGGGACAACAUUUGGAAACGAAUGCUAAUACCGCAUAACAACUUUAAACAUAAGUUUUAAGUUUGAAAGAUGCAAUUGCAUCACUCAAAGAUGAUCCCGCGUUGUAUUAGCUAGUUGGUGAGGUAAAGGCUCACCAAGGCGAUGAUACAUAGCCGACCUGAGAGGGUGAUCGGCCCCAUUGGGACUGAGACACGGCCCAAACUCCUACGGGAGGCAGCAGUAGGGAAUCUUCGGCAAUGGACGAAAGUCUGACCGAGAAACGCCGCGUGAGUGAAGAAGGUUUUCGGAUCGUAAAACUCUGUUGGUAGAGAAGAACGUUGGUGAGAGUGGAAAGCUCAUCAAGUGACGGUAACUACCCAGAAAGGGACGGCUAACUACGUG
rnacentral:rRNA from 1 species